ACUCAAAGGAAUUGACGGGGGCCCGCACAAGCGGAGGAGCAUGUGGUUUAAUUCGAUGGUACGCGAGGAACCUUACCUGGGCUUGAAAGUUAGUGACCGCUCCUGAAAGGGAGCUUUCCGAAAGGACACGAAACUAGGUGCUGCAUGGCUGUCGUCAGCUCGUGCCGUGAGGUGUUGGGUUAAGUCCUGUAACGAGCGCAACCCCUACCAUUAGUUGCCAGCGGGUAAUGCCGGGGACUCUAGUGGAACUGCCUGCGUAAGCAGUGAGGAAGGUGGGGACGACGUCAAGUCAUCACGGCCCUUACGUCCAGGGCUACACACGUGCUACAAUGGCCGAAACAAUGGGCAGCUACUUGGUAACAAGAUGCUAAUCUCUAAAUUCGGUCUCAGUUCGGAUAGAGGUCUGCAAUUCGACCUCUUGAAGUUGGAUUCGCUAGUAAUCGCGCAUCAGCAAUGGCGCGGUGAAUACGUUCCCGGGCCUUGUACACACCGCCCGU
rnacentral:rRNA from 1 species